UCGUGACCCAGAAGCAGCUGUCGGGGAAGUUUGCGGUUAGACCAUGCGUAGAUAUUCUGGGACUCGGGGCUCCGGUGAUUAGCCUACCGGUUGAUCUGAGGACGAAGUGUUCAUCACUGUCAUGAGCCGGAGAGUAGUGGUGGGGAUCACCGUCCAGCGUCUCAUUACACGCUGUUUCUAGUGAAAUACAUCUUUUUGACACAAUGUAAAGUGUCGGUCAUUCAGAGCUCGUGUCUGUGCGUUUUGGCUCACAGUUUUGCUCACAAUCGUGAUUGCCUCCUGUAGAUUCUAACUGAUGCUUUUGUGCUGCACAGACACAUCCAGGGAGACUUUACUCACCAGGCAUGCCGGUGUUUGUGCACCUGCUAACUUAGGGAAGAGCUCAGAAUAGGCUGUAAACAUAGCAGUGGAACUGUAUUCUGGAAAGGUUUUGGUUGUAUGCAUACUAACAGAGGAUGGGAUUUUGGAGACGCUCAAAGAGAGCGGGCUUGCGGUAAUGCGUAGGAGUGUUCACGUGUUGGGGAUCCUCUGCUUGAGGCUGCCUGCGCUGCUGAGAUGCCUAGUAACAACCAGGAGAGUGAAGGAAAGAGGGGAACUUUUGGCAAAAUCUGUUCUCUUCUGACCCUGUUUCUUGUGUGUGUAAUAUCUGUAGCAAGAUGUGUUAUUUUACUGUUUUGGCUGCGCAGUUUCCCCUGUCCUGAGAGUGAGAGAGAGAGAGUUAUAGGGCCUCACUCAAUUUGUCACAAACAAAGCUGAGCUUAGUGCUGAGGCGACUUUAGUUCUCCACUUGUAAACAACUUUCCGCAGCAGACUUGCGUCAGUCCACGCGUGUUGUCAGUUACCUUCUUUUCCACGGCAGCAGUACAACUGCAUUUUCAAUCCUGCAUGUUCUCAAAGUGCCUCUGAAGCAACACAACAGUCCAUAUCAGCUGCCUUUAAUUCUGUUGUGUGAAUGACUCUGGGUAUGUGUGAGGAAAGUGACUACAGAGCUGCUCAGCAUUAAACACCUCCUGGUCCAGCACCAUGGACAGCAGCCAGCACAUGUUCUCGAGUUCAACACACCUCACAGAGCUAAAUCUGCCUGAUGUUUGUUUCAACAUACAUAUUCUAAAAAUCAAUGUUGAAGAUGUAGAGUACUGUGCAGCAGUCACUAAAGUAAAACGAGGAUGCUUUAAAAGACCAUCACAAAUUGUUUGUCAAUUAUUUUAUUUAAAAAAAAAACGAAAAAAAAAACACUGUAAAAAGAAAAAGAACCAGAUCUAUAUUUGGUCUUUUUAAUACCUUUGCACAGAUUUUUUUUUUCCAGGCUACCAAUUUGGUCCAGGUAAUUUUUUAGAACUUCUUGUUGUUCUGUGGAUUUAGGCUCAGUGUUUUCUGUUUAUUCAUAUAAUCCCAGAAUAUGUUUAGGUCGGGGGUCUGUGGGGUUCACACCAUCUGCUGCAAGACUCCUUGUUCCUUUUGUUGCUGAAAAUCUUCUUUAUGACCCUGGGUGUAUACUUGGACAUCCUGCAAAAUGAGUUUGGGACCACAGGCCUCCUCGAUGAAAUCACUAGAAAGGUAAAAAUUUAAUCAUCUCGAGAGUUUAAAACUAUUGCACAGAACUGUAGGUGCUUUGUAAGGCAACACUGUGAGUGUGUGAUCCCCGUGAGGUAUUUAUUCUGGCUUUAGUUUAUUGCAGCGACAGAUUCGGGUUUUUUGGUUUGUUAUUUUUAAGAAGAUACCUCCAGAGUUAGUUGUGUCAGUGAGAACUGCAGCUUGUUCUGUAGCUUCUCGUUGUGAAAUGAAGUCGGACAAACGUUUCACACACACACAAAAAAAAGAAAAAGCAGAAGUCUGCUGUGGUUUGCAACUUGCUGGAGUCAGGAGUGCAUCGGGGUGGGGGGGUGUUCUAAGCGGGUAGAAGCUGGAGGAUCUCUGGCUGAGUCUGUCGACACCAUGUGGUGAUGUGGAGCCACUGCACUGAGGAACCUUGGCUGCAUCUUCCAUUGAUACUGCUCCCUGUUUGAUUGAAUGAUUGUGGACUACUGGGAACUAUGUGUGUGUCCAUGCGUGUUUGUGCAUGCAGUGUAGCUGGUGACGGUGGUUUUGUGUAGAGCAGAUGGCAGAUUUUACUGUUGUGUCAUAAUUCUGCUUGAUUUUUGAGCGGAAAAAAAGAGCCAGGCGUUAAGAAAUUUUUAAGUACCCAGGCAUAAAGCAGACGGUUUUGCUCAUUUUUUCCUGAUUAUUCUGACUACUUGUUAUCUGGGUGCAGAGGACACGCUGAAUCUGCUCUCUCACUGUGUCCCUAUACAUGCACUCGCCAGCAGUCACGGACAUACAGUUGGCCUACAGGCAGGGAUAAAAAUAGCACAAACCGAUGUGACGGGCGCAGCCCUUUUCCCUUCUCAGACUUUUCUAGACUGCCACUCAGUGGAUACUCACUACCUCCAUUUCCAAACCACCGGUACCAUCCACCUCAGCCCACCCCGUCCCAUCGCGUAAAGUCUCGUGAAUGCCCACGCGGCAUGAGUGCAGAUGGAAGACGUGGGGUGUGUGGAGAGGGUCUUACAGUAUAAGGUGUUAUAGAUAUCGAAGGAGGGUGAAGGUGGGGUGGGAGACAGAGCAAUGCUGUGGAGGGAGGUUUAUUUGUGCGCUUUUACAUGGACAAUUGUGCGCUCCCCGUGGGUCUAUUCCGUGGGUGAGCGGGGUCUGGUGCGUGGGCACGACCGGUGAAUAUAGAAGACGGAGGAGGCAGCGGCUCAGCUCGCUGUGUUUUCCUCUCCCUCGGCUUAGAGAUAGUGUUUUACCCGCCAAAUGCACUGGAUGCUGGGAUAUAAAUUAUCCAAGACCAAAACAGCACCAACACUUGGUGGGGGGAUAUAUAGAGACAGGAGAGGGAGGGGGGAGGUUGGCUGGAAACCCAGAUGCUCCAGCGUUAGAGGAGGGUUGUUACCAGGAGAUAACCUGCUCCAAAGCUGCUGUUUUUCACGAGUCCACACCACACUGUCCACCUUUAUGUUCUCCUGUUCUGUCACUCUUUUUUUUCCUUUCCACGGCGCAUUUUCGCAGCGCCGAUCACAGAGCGGCCGUCUUUAAUCAGACUCUCCGGGCUGUAAAGUGAGAGAAUCUAAACGUGACGUCAAUGCCUAGUAACUGACGCAACCCUUCAACAAAAAAAUGGCUUUUUAUUUAUUAUUUUUCCUCUUCUCGUCAGCAAAGCCUAAUUACUAAAUUUUACAGUGCUCCGUCGACUAAGAGAAAAAAGAAAAUCCCUCAGGGAGCGCCGGGUAGUCCGUGUUCAUCAGUAUUUGGACCUAUUUAGCCUUCCUGAGUUUCAGCUGCUGAAGUGACUCUUGGACCAGAAGCUUCUGAAGAGGGCGACAAGACAUCAAAUAUUGUCGAUGAUAAUGGCAGCGUCGACGAGUUCCAGGUCUUAGUUGUUGAGGGAGAAAGUAGCGUGUUUUUAAGGCUGGAGGAGGACGUGGUGGUGCUGUUGAAGCCACAUUGGGUUUAAAAAAAAAAUCACUGCAAUGAUGCAACAGAGGGGAAUCGGGGCUCUUGUGCAGAGUUGGAGAGGCAAAAUUAAUUUACAUUACAUGCACUUCACGUAACGAUCCUAAGCGAUGCCUUUUGUGAGUGUUUUUUUUCCCUUCCUCGUACUGUGGCCUAAAAAUAGCAUCAUAGUUUUGAUCGUACGCCAGAAAUAGACAGACGGGUAUCACUUGUAUAAAAAAGGAGGCGAUCCUGAGCAAACUUGGACGUGCCACUUUUAGAACAAGGACGUGCCUGCGCUACGGAGAGAACGAUGACAACCAAAACAACGAGGGGUAAAAAAAAAAAAAGAAAAGAAAGAGGUGACUUGUGGCCGGAGUGGACGCUGCUGACGCCGCCGGAGCCUCCACCUGUGCGCCGGAGAGAAAAAGGUGACCCACGUUUUGGAUGUUUUGCACCGAGGAGCGACUGAGAGACACCGACCUUCCUGCCUCCCUCCCUCUCCCCCCGUCCUCCCAUGCUCUUCUUCAUCCCGAGAACAGGUGAUUUCAGUCCCGCUGCCCUGAACUGACAGCAACGCUCCGUGGUCUGUGGACCAGAGUCUGUUUCUGCCACGUCAACUACAAGAGCCGUUCCUAAACAAGCCGAAUCACAUGUGAUAACAAACUGUUCCUCACUUUGUCUUCGCAGUUAAUGGACAACGAUGCAGAAUCAGUGUUGCCAAAAAGGGGAACUGUGAGCAGUGUGUCCUGUGAGCCGGAGGGUUAGAAAAAAAUAAAGUUCCCACCCCAGCAAGGAGUCCCCUCCCUGUAACCUGCACCCACACACUCUGGUCUUCUGGAGCAAAACGAUGUUCACAGAAGAAAGAAAAUGGAAACCACUGCAGCCAGCGAAGCAGAAGAAGGUAGAAAGGAACAAUGAGGGCCCAGAAGGGAGGGAGGAGGCAGCUGGAUGGGCAGCGAGUGAACUCAAAGCGGCCGACACCUUUGUUUCCAUUAGCACCACCCAAAAACCAUGAAAGUCAAGCCGGUUGGAGUGGGACACAUCCAUCCUCCACCCGCCUGCACUCAGAAGAGAGUCGUCUAACUCCAGGCUGGGAAGGAUAAAUAUGUAAACACUUGUGACAGCAGCAGACACCAUGGAAGGCAGCUCUCCACAUGCAGCACAAUCUCCUCAGCUGGAAUUAAAACACACAUAACAGAUCGCUGCUGCUGUGAGUCUGAUGUCGCCGUCGGGUGAAGCAGAACUGCAGCUGUUGGGCUGCGAGGAAACGACCGAGACGUGAAGGUGGACUCUCAAAACGUCCGAUGGGAGUGUGUGUGUGUGUGUGUGUGUGUGUGUGUGUGUGUGUGUGUGUGUGUGUGUGUGUGUGUGUGUGUGUGUGUGUGUGUGUGUGUGUGUGUGUGUGUGUGUGUGUGUGUGUGUGUAUGUGUGUAUGUGUCUAAUUUGAUGAUAUUAUAUCAUAUCUGUUAAAAAAAAUUAGAAAAUGUAAGCUACUUCUGUCUCUCCUAACACUGAUGUAAUGCUGCUGGCUGUUCUACAUGUUCUAUACUUGUUUUCAUGUGAACGUUGUUUGUAAAUUUCUGUUUUCAAAAUCUGAGUCCAUGUCAGAGUCUGUCAAUAUUUAUUGAGCUGGCUGAUGUUGGCUGUGCAGUGAUGCCAGGCUACAAACAAGUGCUAUAAAAUAGAUUAUAUAUUAUAUUAGUAAACUGCAUUUUACUCUACACUUUGUAACGUGACUCGGAGACAGCUGGUCGCUAAUACAUUUAAUUUCAUCCCUUUUAAAAGUGUUACACAACUUGCUGCUCCUUCUUCUCGGUGUCACGUUGACUUCGACCCUCCACUUCUGUCAAAGAAUGCGAGCAGCUGCAUGAUGCAUGUCAACAUGUGGACACAUUUUUAUACUCUUGUCCCUCUGCUGAGUACAUGACAGGCUUUGCUUCGUGCCACAGAGCCUCGGUUUGUCAGAAUUUCAUGUUUAGUUUGUGUGUGAGAGACAGACGGGGAGCAUGGCGGCAGAUGGGGUGUGCUGGAGACUAAAAAUGCUGUUGCAAAUAGCCUCUGUGGGUCGGAGAGGGGGAACAGAGAGCACAUACUGCUGAGGAGAGAAUCGUGACAGUCGGUUGUGGUGAAACAUCCGACGAAUGUGAGCAGGAUUUCGUCGUUCGUGUGCAUUUUAAUGUGAAGUUUAAUGAAAUAAAGCGAUGUAAAUUCA